CAGACCUAUUCAGCGCAGUCUUUCCAAAUGAAUAACACGGAUUAUUACGAUCAGCAGGCAUGCUGGCAUCAGGUGGAUUGAGAGAGCAUUCAGUGAGAAAUCUGAUACUGUUUGCCUCCAGUUUAACCUUAGAAGCAAUGCAACCAGCCAUUCGGGGAGUUUGGCCAUACUCAACAACUGGAAGUAAUUGCCUAGACAACAGCACUUCAGAAAAAUAAGUAGAGGUC
rnacentral:lncRNA from 11 species